AACGAACGCUGGCGGCGUGCCUAACACAUGCAAGUCGAGCGGGAAAGUCCGCAAGGAUGAGUACAGCGGCGCACGGGUGCGUAACACGUGGGUAAUCUGCCCUGAAGCUCGGGAUAACUCGCCGAAAGGCGUGCUAAUACCGGAUAAGACCACGGGAACCUCGGUUCCUGCGGGAAAAGGUGGCCUCUGUAUACAAGCUAUCACUUCAGGAUGAGCCCGCGGCCCAUCAGCUCGUGGCGGGGUAACGGCCCACCAAGGCUACGACGGGUAGCUGGUCUGAGAGGACGAUCAGCCACACUGGAACUGAGACACGGUCCAGACUCCUACGGGAGGCAGCAGUGGGGAAUCUUGCGCAAUGGGCGAAAGCCUGACGCAGCAACGCCGCGUGUGUGAUGAAGGUCUUCGGAUCGUAAAGCACUGUCGGGAGGGACGAAUAAGGGCCGGGUGAACAAUCCGGUCUGAUGACGGUACCUCCAAAGGAAGCACCGGCUAACUCUGUGCCAGCCGCCGCGGUAACAC
rnacentral:rRNA from 1 species